GGCCAGACUCCUACGGGAGGCAGCAGUGAGGAAUAUUGGUCAAUGGUCGGGAGACUGAACCAGCCAAGCCGCGUGAGGGAGGAAGGUACAGCGUAUCGUAAACCUCUUUUGUCAGGGAACAAAGGCGGGGACUAGUCCCCGGAUGAGGGUACCUCAAGAAAAAGCAUCGGCUAACUCCGUGCCAGCAGCCGCGGUAAUACGGAGGAUGCGAGCGUUAUCCGGAUUUAUUGGGUUUAAAGGGUGCGCAGGCGGGGCUGUAAGGUGGGGGGAAAAGGCCGGGGGCUAAACCCGGGCGAGCCGUUGAAACUGGCGGGCUGGAGUUGGAGAGAAGUACGCGGAAUGCGUGGUGUAGCGGUGAAAUGCAUAGAUAUCACGCAGAACUCCGAUUGCGAAGGCAGCGCACCGGCGCCCUACUGACGCUCAGGCACGAAAGCGUGGGUAUCGAACAGGAUUAGAUACCCCCGUA
rnacentral:rRNA from 1 species